rnacentral:rRNA from 1 species
AAGGGCACCACAAGAACGCGUGGAGCAUGUGGCUUAAUUUGACUCAACGCGGGGAAUCUUACCGGGUCCGGACACACUGAGGAUUGACAGACGGUUAUUGACUUAUACUCGCUUAAUGGCUUUAAGCUGUUAAGUGUUUAACACCUUUACACAAAGAUGCUAGUCCUUUCAUGAUCGUUUGAUAGGUGGUGCAUGGCCGUUCUUAGUUCGUGGAGUGAUCUGUCUGCCUAAUUGCGUUUCACUAAGGUCCCAUUCUUCAUACGUAUGAAUAGCGUCUUAACUCACUUUUACCGCUACCUAUUUGUAGUAAGCGCUCAUACUAUUGGGACCGGAAUGCAACGAGCGCGACUGCACCACCUAAUUGCCCCUUAUCUACCAUUAAUUACUUUAUUAACCGCCCUGUACGGGCACCGGGGCCUUACCUUUACUGAAACUAGCUGGACCGCUGCUUUCCUUUAAGCCAGAGGAAGGUUGCGGCAAUAACAGGUCUGUGAUGCCCUCAGAUGUUCCGGGCCGCACACGUGCUACAAUGAUCAGCACAAAGAGUAUUACCUAUCUUCUUAUACCUAACCCAAUAUGUUAAACUUAUUGCGUAAGGGUAUUGUCUUAACGACUUAUCCGCUUUAGCGCUUUAAGAUUAUUGGACGGUUAUGCCUGCCUCGAAAGAGUGUACAGGGCAGCAAGAGUAAUGAUUCCCUCGUUUUUACUACUAAUACCGCGCUUGGUAACAUAUUACACUCGAUUAAGUAGGGUCUUUGCUUCUAAUAGCAAUUGCUAUCCUCACCCUUAGGCUCUAAGGAUAUUACUAUCUCUAAGGUCUACAGGGAGGUGUAUAUGGCGCACUUACUUAUUCACGGUGGGGACAGACCAUUGUUAACUG